rnacentral:snoRNA from 1 species
GAAUGAUGAACCUUUAUAGAUGACGAGUCUGAUCUAUUCAAGUUGAAGACAAAACUAUUUUAAUUCCAUUCAUGCAUUUCUGACU